CAGAGAACAAGGAGCCACAAGAGAACGAUCGAGGCCAACGUUGGCUGCUGAGACGGAGAUCUGCCCCGGUUACUUUUCACAUCACUGUGAUGCAGAGCUGGGGACUGAACCCAGGGCCUUGUGCUUGCUAGGCAAGCGCUCUACCACUGAGCUAAAUCCUCAACCCCAACUAUGUAACUCUUAAGGGUGCCUGUUACUGCUCUUGUGACCUUCCUGAGGAACACGGAAACUGCUACAGCUUCUUCAACCAGGAUAGGCAUCAUUCCCUUGUCUACUACUUAACAAACUACAACCAGCAAUGACCAACAGUGACCAACAACCAACCAACAAAUUGCCCCACCUCUUUGAGCCCUAGGACUUAUUAACCCUCUGAAAAUUUCCCAGAAUUCUAAACUUCACACAAUUCCAGAGACGAUCUGCAGCUGGCAGAACCACACCUCUGCUAGAGCAUGAGGCAAAUCCCAGCCAGCUACUGUGGACAAUCUGAAGCAGUCCCAUAUCCCACAUGUGUGAUUAAAAUGAAAACAUAGUCUUAUAA